UACGAAGGGGGCUAGCGUUGUUCGGAUUUACUGGGCGUAAAGCGCGUGUAGGCGGGUCGUUAAGUCGGGGGUGAAAGCCCAGAGCUCAACUCUGGAACUGCCCCCGAUACUGGCGUCCUUGAGUGAGGAGGAGGCGAGUGGAAUUCCGAGUGUAGAGGUGAAAUUCAUAGAUAUUCGGAGGAACGCCAGUGGCGAAGGCGGCUCGCUGGUCCUUUGCUGACGCUGAGACGCGAAAGCGUGGCGAUCAAACAGG
rnacentral:rRNA from 1 species